GACGAACGCUGGCGGCGUGCCUAAUACAUGCAAGUCGAACGCAGUGGGGACGGGUGAGUAACAAGUGGGUGACCGCCCAGCAGAGGGGAUAACACUUGGAAACAGGUGCUAAACCGCUACUGGUGGAGGGACCCGCGGGGGAUUAGCUUGUUGGGUGGGUAACGGCCCACCAAGGCUACGAUGCAUAGCCGGCCUGAGAGGGUUAUCGGCCACACGGGAACGGAGACACGGUCCAGACUCCUACGGGAGGCAGCAGUGGGGAAUCUUCGGCAAUGGACGAAAGCCUGACCGAGCAACGCCGCGUGAGUGAAGAAGGUUUUCGGAUCGUAAAGCUCUGUUGUCGGAGAAGCGUUAUCUACCCAGAAAGCCCCGGCUAACUCCGUGCCAGCAGCCGCGGUAAUAC
rnacentral:rRNA from 1 species